GAUUCCUCGAAGAUUUGAUUUUGAGGCAGGGGUCGAGGAUUAAUAUCGGCCAACGCUAGCGUUCUAUGUGUUUCGGCCGUUGGAUCGUAGAACAGCGGCACAGAUCGUCUCCUGCAGAAGGAGAAGCAUAGCGGAAGAGGAACCGGACCGGAUCCACUGGUUCCAUUCCGGCGGCGGCGGCGGCGGCGGUGCCGGUUGGGCUUGUGCUCUCUCCGACGACCACGACCCCUUCCCUUCCCUUUCCUUCCCCGGGCAGCCUCCUUCCGCCGAAGCACGACCGCUCUCGUAGCCUCCGUCGAGUUGUACUGGACUUGUGGCGAGUGGAGAUCUAUCAAUUAGACGUGGAUUGUUCUGUUUCUUGUGGUGACAAACCCUAGCUUGCUCGGAUUGUUCGGAAUAAUACAAUGGAGGUCAGACCGAUGGUUGCUUUGCGUGCUGCCCUAGUUGGUGGGAUAGCAGCAUUUGCUAAGAUUGGUGCUGCAAUGAAAGCUGCAGGAGGUGCAAAGGUUGGUGCAGCGGCUGCAGCAAUGACAGCUGCAGCAACAGCUGCUGUAUCCGGGAAAGACACAAACAAAGAUGAUCCGAAGAGGGAAACAAAGUGAUAUAUGCCAUUAGUUAGGUGAGAAGCCGUGCAUGGAAAUGCCUCUCUCCGGAGUAUGGAUCCGCAGCUUACCUUCUUUUUUUUUUCUUCUUGGAUUUCACUUCCAGCAUCGCUGAAGAGUUUUAGAAGCUAAUUGCGCCAUCUGAAAUGAUGUCAUAAUAAGCUACUAGAAGAUCAACUUUCAUCUUACAUGAGAAAGUUAUGAUCCUGGUGUUUUUUGUCUUGAGAAUAAGCACUAUUUUCUGAUACAUUUUACUAAUUAUGAUAAAUAAACCUAGUAUUGGAUGAG